UGCCUAAGACAUGCAAGUCGAACGAGACGACCUUAAGAAGACUGAGUGCUGCACGAAGUUGGAAGAAGAUCAUCGUCUAGUGGCAGACGGGUGAGUAACACGUGGGUAACCUACCUUCAAGUUGGGAUAACAGUUGGAACGAUUGCUAAUACCGAAUAAGGUACUUGUACUGAAAGAAGCCUUUAAAGCUUCGCUUAAAGAUGGGCCUGCGGCGUAUUAACUAGUUGGUGAGGUAAUGGCUCACCAAGGUAACGAUGCGUAGCCGAACUGAGAGGUUGAACGGCCACACUGGACUGAGACACGGCCCAGACUCCUACGGGAGACAGCAGUUAGGAAUAUUCGUCAAUGGGGGAAACCCUGAACGAGCAAUGCCGCGUGAGUGAUGAAAGGCCCUAUGGGUUGUAAAACUCUGUUGUAUGGGAAGAACGGUCAUAUUAGGAAAUGAAUAUGGAGUGACGGUACCAUACCAGAAAGCUCCGGCUAACUACGUGCCAGCCGCAGC
rnacentral:rRNA from 1 species